rnacentral:rRNA from 1 species
AGAUUGAACGCUGGCGGCAUGCCUUACACAUGCAAGUCGAACGGCAGCACGGGAGCAAUCCUGGUGGCGAGUGGCGAACGGGUGAGUAAUACAUCGGAACGUGCCCAGUUGUGGGGGAUAGCCCGGCGAAAGCCGGAUUAAUACCGCAUACGACCUAUGGGUGAAAGCGGGGGAUCGCAAGACCUCGCGCAAUUGGAGCGGCCGAUGUCGGAUUAGCUUGUUGGUGGGGUAAAAGCUCACCAAGGCUACGAUCCGUAGCUGGUCUGAGAGGACGACCAGCCACACUGGGACUGAGACACGGCCCAGGACUCCUACGGGAGGCAGCAGUGGGGAAUUUUGGACAAUGGGCGCAAGCCUGAUCCAGCCAUGCCGCGUGCGGGAAGAAGGCCGUUCGGUUGUAAACCGUCUUUUGUCGAGGAAGAAACGGUUCGAGCUAAUACUUGAACUAAUGACGGUACUGAAGAAUAAGCACCGACUAACUACGUA